rnacentral:rRNA from 2 species
GGGUUGUGAGGUUAAGCGACUAAGCGUACACGGUGGAUGCCCUGGCAGUCAGAGGCGAUGAAGGACGUGCUAAUCUGCGAAAAGCGUCGGUAAGGUGAUAUGAACCGUUAUAGCCGGCGAUGUCCGAAUGGGGAAACCCAGUGCAAUUCGUUGCACUAUCGUUAACUGAAUACAUAGGUUAACGAGGCGAACCGGGGGAACUGAAACAUCUAAGUACCCCGAGGAAAAGAAAUCAACCGAGAUUCCCCCAGUAGCGGCGAGCGAACGGGGAGCAGCCCAGAGUCUGAAUCAGCUUGUGUGUUAGUGGAACGGUCUGGAAAGUCCGACGGUACAGGGUGAUAGUCCCGUACACCAAAAUGCACAGGCUGUGAACUCGAAGAGUAGGGCGGGACACGUGGUAUCCUGUCUGAAUAUGGGGGGACCAUCCUCCAAGGCUAAAUACUCCUGACUGACCGAUAGUGAACCAGUACCGUGAGGGAAAGGCGAAAAGAACCCCGGCGAGGGGAGUGAAAAAGAACCUGAAACCGUGUACGUACAAGCAGUGGGAGCACCUUCGGGUGUGACUGCGUACCUUUUGUAUAAUGGGUCAGCGACUUAUAUUCUGUAGCAAGGUUAACCGUAUAGGGGAGCCGCAGGGAAACCGAGUCUUAACUGGGCGUUAAGUUGCAGGGUAUAGACCCGAAACCCGGUGAUCUAGCCAUGGGCAGGUUGAAGGUUGGGUAACACUAACUGGAGGACCGAACCGACUAAUGUUGAAAAAUUAGCGGAUGACUUGUGGCUGGGGGUGAAAGGCCAAUCAAACCGGGAGAUAGCUGGUUCUCCCCGAAAGCUAUUUAGGUAGCGCCUCGUGAACUCAUCUUCGGGGGUAGAGCACUGUUUCGGCUAGGGGGUCAUCCCGACUUACCAACCCGAUGCAAACUACGAAUACCGAAGAAUGUUAUCACGGGAGACACACGGCGGGUGCUAACGUCCGUCGUGAAGAGGGAAACAACCCAGACCGCCAGCUAAGGUCCCAAAGUCAUGGUUAAGUGGGAAACGAUGUGGGAAGGCACAGACAGCCAGGAUGUUGGCUUAGAAGCAGCCAUCAUUUAAAGAAAGCGUAAUAGCUCACUGGUCGAGUCGGCCUGCGCGGAAGAUGUAACGGGGCUAAACCAUGCACCGAAGCUGCGGCAGCGACACUAUGUGUUGUUGGGUAGGGGAGCGUUCUGUAAGCCUGCGAAGGUGACCUGUGAGGGUUGCUGGAGGUAUCAGAAGUGCGAAUGCUGACAUAAGUAACGAUAAAGCGGGUGAAAAGCCCGCUCGCCGGAAGACCAAGGGUUCCUGUCCAACGUUAAUCGGGGCAGGGUGAGUCGACCCCUAAGGCGAGGCCGAAAGGCGUAGUCGAUGGGAAACAGGUUAAUAUUCCUGUACUUGGUGUUACUGCGAAGGGGGGACGGAGAAGGCUAUGUUAGCCGGGCGACGGUUGUCCCGGUUUAAGCAUGUAGGCUGGUUAUCCAGGCAAAUCCGGAUAAUCAAGGCUGAGGUGUGAUGACGAGGCACUACGGUGCUGAAGUAACAAAUGCCCUGCUUCCAGGAAAAGCCUCUAAGCAUCAGGUAACAUCAAAUCGUACCCCAAACCGACACAGGUGGUCAGGUAGAGAAUACCAAGGCGCUUGAGAGAACUCGGGUGAAGGAACUAGGCAAAAUGGUGCCGUAACUUCGGGAGAAGGCACGCUGGUGUGUAGGUGAAGUCCCUGCGGAUGGAGCUGAGACCAGUCGAAGAUACCAGCUGGCUGCAACUGUUUAUUAAAAACACAGCACUGUGCAAACACGAAAGUGGACGUAUACGGUGUGACGCCUGCCCGGUGCCGGAAGGUUAAUUGAUGGGGUUAUCCGUAAGGAGAAGCUCUUGAUCGAAGCCCCGGUAAACGGCGGCCGUAACUAUAACGGUCCUAAGGUAGCGAAAUUCCUUGUCGGGUAAGUUCCGACCUGCACGAAUGGCGUAAUGAUGGCCAGGCUGUCUCCACCCGAGACUCAGUGAAAUUGAACUCGCUGUGAAGAUGCAGUGUACCCGCGGCAAGACGGAAAGACCCCGUGAACCUUUACUAUAGCUUGACACUGAACAUUGAGCCUUGAUGUGUAGGAUAGGUGGGAGGCUUUGAAGCGUGGACGCCAGUCUGCGUGGAGCCAACCUUGAAAUACCACCCUUUAAUGUUUGAUGUUCUAACGUUGGCCCCUGACCGGGGUUGCGGACAGUGUCUGGUGGGUAGUUUGACUGGGGCGGUCUCCUCCCAAAGCGUAACGGAGGAGCACGAAGGUUAGCUAAUCCUGGUCGGACAUCAGGAGGUUAGUGCAAUGGCAUAAGCUAGCUUGACUGCGAGCGUGACGGCGCGAGCAGGUGCGAAAGCAGGUCAUAGUGAUCCGGUGGUUCUGAAUGGAAGGGCCAUCGCUCAACGGAUAAAAGGUACUCCGGGGAUAACAGGCUGAUACCGCCCAAGAGUUCAUAUCGACGGCGGUGUUUGGCACCUCGAUGUCGGCUCAUCACAUCCUGGGGCUGAAGUAGGUCCCAAGGGUAUGGCUGUUCGCCAUUUAAAGUGGUACGCGAGCUGGGUUUAGAACGUCGUGAGACAGUUCGGUCCCUAUCUGCCGUGGGCGCUGGAGAAUUGAGGGGGGCUGCUCCUAGUACGAGAGGACCGGAGUGGACGCAUCACUGGUGUUCGGGUUGUCAUGCCAAUGGCACUGCCCGGUAGCUAAAUGCGGAAGAGAUAAGUGCUGAAAGCAUCUAAGCACGAAACUUGCCCCGAGAUGAGUUCUCCCUGAGACUUUAAGUCUCCUGAAGGAACGUUAAAGACGAUGACGUUGAUAGGCCGGGUGUGUAAGCGCAGCGAUGCGUUGAGCUAACCGGUACUAAUGAACCGUGAGGCUUAACCUUACAACGCCGAAG